UGGGGAAUUUUCCGCAAUGGGCGCAAGCCUGACGGAGCAAUACCGCGUGAGGGAUAAAGGCCUUCGGGUUGUAAACCUCUUUUAUCAAGGAGGAAAUUUUGACGUGUACUUGAUGAAUAAGCAUCGGCUAACUCCGUGCCAGCAGCCGCGGUAAGACGGAGGAUGCAAGUGUUAUCCGGAAUUAUUGGGCGUAAAGCGUCUGUAGGUGGUUUAAAAAGUCCAUGGUUAAAACUUGAAGCUUAACUUCAAAAAUGCCAUGGAAACUUUUAAACUUGAGUAUGGUAGGGGUAAAGGGAAUUUCCAGUGGAGCGGUGAAAUGCGUAGAUAUUGGAAAGACCACCGACGGCGAAGGCACUUUACUGGGCCAUUACUGACACUAAGAGACGAAAGCUAGGGGAGCAAAUGGG
rnacentral:rRNA from 1 species